AACAGUUUAGCUUCUAAGGAUACACCUUCACCAAGAGCAGCAACCUAUUAAUAGAGAAUCAGAAAGGGAAUGAUCUCCAAAUCAUAGCCAUAUAAAUGACUACAUAAAGAGUUGUAUACAAGCAUAUAACUGGAUAUUGCUAGAUAAGAACCAUGCAGAUCUUAAAGCACACAAUUACAUGCUCAGA